GACACGCUGGCGGCGUGCCUGACACAUGCAAGUCGGACGGUUCUUGUACCUUCAAGCUUGCUUGUUGGUGCAAGGAUAGUGGCGGACGGGUGAGUAACGCGUGAACAUCUACCCAUUGAGGGGGACAACCCGUCGAAAGCGGGCUAAUACCGCGUAAGCCGCGAGGUGAGAGGCUGCCUAUUGGUGGCCGCCGAUGGAUGGGUUCGCGUCCUAUCAGCUGGUUGGUGGGGUAACGGCCUACCAAGGCGAAGACGGGUAGCCGGUCUGAGAGGAUGGCCGGCCACACUGGAACUGAGACACGGUCCAGACUCCUACGGGAGGCAGCAGUGGGGAAUAUUGGGCAAUGGGGGAGACCCUGACCCAGCGACGCCGCGUGAGGGACGAAGGCCUUAGGGUCGUAAAGCUCUGUUUUAGGGGACGAAUGUCGAGAGGAAUAAUACGUCUCUCGAAUGACGGUACCCUAAGAGGAAGCCCCGGCUAACUACGUG
rnacentral:rRNA from 1 species